AGUCUGCCCUGCCAGAGAGGGUCUGGGAUUCAUUUGAGUAAAACAAACUGCAAAUUGUCCAUAACGUGCUGUGAGAAGUGCCUUGAUUCGCCUCGUUAAAAUGCACGGAAAUCCAUCCACUAAUUGAUUGCUGCAUAUUCAGUAACAAAGCUGCUGAUUGGUUUACUUGUGCUCUGAUUGCUAUUUAUGUUUAGCUUUGAUGCAUUUCCUGUCAAGCGUUUCUGAGAGUCAGGUUUCACUGUGAGUUACUGCAGACAACGUUACUGGAGUUCCAGUAGCCAACUGAAGAAAAAAAAAAAAAAGAAAAAGAAAAAGAAAAAACGGGGUCACUUUGUAGAAGACUAUAGAAAGACGUCAGAAGAAAGAACAUCAACAUUGUUGGAACUCAUCGACUUGUGGGCUAGUUGAACAUUUGUUAUCAGUAACUAAAAUAAUGUGAUGUAUUUUUAAAAAUACAAUCUCAAGAAUGUAAUACUGAAUAUUGUAGAAUUACAGAUAUACACAGAAACGAUGAUUAAAGUAGUGAUUGGCAACAGAAUGAUUGCGCUAGAUAUCAGGCCUGUAAUACUGCUCUCUGCGGUUAGAUGGCAGCAGUCAGCUGUCAUGCUUGCACAUCAACACUUCCACAGUUACUACAGAGAGUCUGACUUUGCUGCUGCACACUUCAUUGUGUUUUAUUCACUAGAUUGUGAGGAAAAAGUCAUUUAGAAAGCAACGAGAAAUAACAUCAGCGAAAAGGAAACCCCGCAAUAAUGGACAUGAAAACAAGCGUGUGUCUUUUAGAGCGCCGUAUGGAAGGGGAGGAGAGAUCACACAGGUGGGGUUGUGUCUCUAGAGGGAAGAUCUCUGUGACCUGGGUGUGCUGGGUCAGUUCUCAGUGUGACCGCUGUGCUUGCUGGGAUGUCACUUCAUAUCCACUGAAUCCAGAAACAACUUGAGUCAAAGCCACAAGUCUGACGGUGUUCUCGUAACCAAAUGAGAAGCAAAGAAAAGACAGUUAUAAUAGAGAACACUUCACGGAGAUCUUGGAGGGAGUACAGAAGUGUCAGAGAGAGACCUCCAGAACUGACAAGAUUUGGCCUCCUUCCCGGAGAACGCAAGCGAGGGGGAGGAGAGCAAGAGAAAUCUGCCAGAACUUGACCUCUACAGCCUCCCUGUCUUUUAAGCCUUCAUUGCCUUUUUGCUGCCACAGAAAUGGUUACAUAAUUGUAAAGAACCAGAGCAAUUUGUUUGUUUUAGCUUCUCAAAGCUUCCCACUUCUCUCAGCUGCUUUCAAUUCCACGAUGUGUUUCCCCACGGACAAGGUUCGACCAAAAGCCUUUCUGUGAAGCCAGUGCUCUCUAUACACAAACCAAUGGAGAUUUUAAUAAAGAAAUUCCACAUAAGUCAGGCUUUAUUCAGCAUUAUUCAAAUGAUUCCGUGGA